rnacentral:rRNA from 1 species
UGGGAAUAUUGCACAAUGGCGCAAGCCUGAUGCAGCAAUGCCGCGUGAGUGAAGACGGCCUUAGGGUUGUAAAACUCUUUCGCUAGGGAAGAUAAUGACGGUACCUAGUAAAGAAGUCCCGGCUAACUCCGUGCCAGCAGCCGCGGUAAUACGGAGGGACUAGCGUUGUUCGGAAUUACUGGGCGUAAGAGUUCGUAGGCGGACUAGCAAGUUAGAGGUGAAAUCCCAGGGCUCAAACCUUGGAACUGCCUUUAAAAGCUGCUAGUCUAGAGACCGGAAGAGGUUAGGGGAAUACCUAGUGUAGAGGUGAAAUUCGUAGAUAUUAGGUGGAACACCAGUGGCGAAGGCGCCUAACUGGUCCGGUACUGACGCUGAGGAACGAAAGCGUGGGGAGCAAACAGGAUUAGAUACCCUGGUAGUCCACGCCGUAAACGAUGAGUGCUAGAUGUUGGGAUUUUCGGAUUUCCAGUGUCGCAGCUAACGCAUUAAGCACUCCGCCUGGGGAGUACGGCCGCAGGUUAAAA